rnacentral:rRNA from 1 species
UAGAGUUUGAUCAUGGCUCAGAACGAACGCUGGCGGCGUGCUUAACACAUGCAAGUCGAACGCGAACGAGUUCUUCGGGACUUUAGUAGAGUGGCGCACGGGUGAGUAACGCGUAAGUAAUCUACCUCGGCAUCUGGAAUAACACAUCGAAAGGUGUGCUAAUACUGGAUACGUUGAGUAAUCAAGAAAGGUGGCCUCUGAAUAUGCUACUGUGCUGAGAUGAGCUUGCGUACCAUUAGCUAGUUGGUAGGGUAAUGGCCUACCAAGGCGACGAUGGUUAGCGGGUCUGAGAGGAUGAUCCGCCACACUGGAACUGGAACACGGACCAGACUCCUACGGGAGGCAGCAGUGAGGAAUAUUGCGCAAUGGGGGAAACCCUGACGCAGCGACGCCGCGUGGAUGAUGAAGGCCUUCGGGUCGUAAAAUCCUGUCAGAUGGAAAGAAGUGUUAUGUGGCUAAUAUCCAUGUAACUUGACGGUACCAUCGAAGGAAGCACCGGCUAACUCCGUGCCAGCAGCCGCGGUAAUACGGAGGGUGCAAGCGUUGUUCGGAAUUACUGGGCGUAAAGCGCGCGUAGGCGGUUUUAUAAGUCAGAUGUGAAAGCCCAUGGCUCAACCAUGGACGUGCAUUUGAAACUGUGAGACUUGAGUAUUGGAGGGGGUGGUGGAAUUCUCGGUGUAGAGGUGAAAUUCGUAGAUAUCGGGAGGAAUACCGGUGGCGAAGGCGAUCACCUGGUCAAAUACUGACGCUAAGGCGCGAAAGCGUGGGGAGCAAACAGGAUUAGAUACUCUGGCUAGUCCACGCCGUAAACGAUGUCAACUAGGUGUUGGGACGGUUAAUCGUCUCAUUGCCGCAGCUAACGCAUUAAGUUGACCGCCUGGGGGAGUACGGGUCGCAAGAUUAAAACUCAAAGGGAAU